rnacentral:rRNA from 1 species
UACGUAGGGUGCAAGCGUUGUCCGGAAUUAUUGGGCGUAAAGAGCUCGUAGGCGGUUUGUCGCGUCGAAUGUGAAAACCCGGGGCUCAACUCCGGGCCUGCAUUCGAUACGGGCAGACUAGAGUUCGGUAGGGGAGACUGGAAUUCCUGGUGUAGCGGUGAAAUGCGCAGAUAUCAGGAGGAACACCGGUGGCGAAGGCGGGUCUCUGGGCAGUAACUGACGCUGAGGAGCGAAAGCGUGGGGAGCGAACAGG